CCUACGGGUGGCAGCAGUGGGGAAUAUUGGACAAUGGGCGAAAGCCUGAUCCAGCCAUGCCGCGUGUGUGAAGAAGGCCUUCGGGUUGUAAAGCACUUUCAGUGGGGAAGAAAGCCUUGGGGCUAAUACCCUCGAGGAAGGACAUCACCCACAGAAGAAGCACCGGCUAACUCCGUGCCAGCAGCCGCGGUAAUACGGAGGGUGCGAGCGUUAAUCGGAAUUACUGGGCGUAAAGCGCGCGUAGGCGGUCUGAUAAGCCGGUUGUGAAAGCCCCGGGCUCAACCUGGGAACGGCAUCCGGAACUGUCAGGCUAGAGUGCAGGAGAGGAAGGUAGAAUUCCCGGUGUAGCGGUGAAAUGCGUAGAGAUCGGGAGGAAUACCAGUGGCGAAGGCGGUCUUCUGGACUGACACUGACGCUGAGGUGCGAAAGCGUGGGUAGCAAACAGGACUAGAUACCCGGGUAGUC
rnacentral:rRNA from 1 species